rnacentral:rRNA from 1 species
UACGAGUGCCCCAAGCGUUAUCCGGAAUCAUUGGGCGUAAAGGGUGUGUAGGCGGUUAUGUUAGUCUGCAGUCAAAUCUCCCGGCUUAACCGGGAAUCCGCUGCGGAAACGGCAUAACUAGAGGAUGCGAGGGGUCUGUAGAACUCAUGGAGUAGGGGUGAAAUCCGUUGAUAUCAUGGGGAAUACCAAAAGCGAAGGCAGCAGACUGGCGCACUCCUGACGCUGAAACACGAAAGCGUGGGUAGCGAAUGGG